rnacentral:rRNA from 1 species
GACGAACGCUGGCGGCGUGCUUAACACAUGCAAGUCGAGCGGUAAGGCCCUUUCGGGGGGUACACGAGCGGCGAACGGGUGAGUAACACGUGGGUGACCUGCCCUCAGCUCUGGGAUAAGCCUGGGAAACCGGGUCUAAUACUGGAUAUGACUCCAUGACGCAUGUUGUGGGGUGGAAAGCCUUGUGCGGCUGAGGAUGGGCCCGCGGCCUAUCAGCUUGUUGGUGGGGUGAUGGCCUACCAAGGCGACGACGGGUAGCCGGCCUGAGAGGGCGACCGGCCACACUGGGACUGAGACACGGCCCAGACUCCUACGGGAGGCAGCAGUGGGGAAUCUUGCGCAAUGGGCGAAAGCCUGACGCAGCGACGCCGCGUGAGGGAUGACGGCC